GGUCAGGAUAGCUCAGUUGGUAGAGCAGAGGACUGAAAAUC
rnacentral:tRNA from 8 species